CAAAAUGGCGACCGGAGCACUCAGCAGAAGAAAUGGAGAGGAGAGGAGCUAAAUACAAUUGAAUAAAAACGGAUUAAAAUGAGCAAAGUUAACCUGCAGUCCAAGCCUGUGUAUUCUACAACAGCCAAUUCAUCCUCCAGUCCAAACCUGUGUAUUUAACUGCAAGGUCAUCUUCCACUCCAAGCCUGUGUCUUGUACAACUGCAAGGUCAUCUUCAAGUCCAAGCCUGUGUAUUCUACAAUAGCAAAGUCAUCCACCAGUCCAAACCUGUGUAUACUACAACUGCAAGGUCAUCCUCCAGUCCAAGCCUGUGUAUUCUACAACAGAAAAGUCAUCCUCCAGUCCAAACCAACUGCAAGGUCAUCUCUUGGAAGACUAUUACCCCAAAAUAUUACAGGAAUUUAACCCAGCACUAAAGAGAAUCUUCUCUUCUUUGGACGACACAGACUGCCCAGGACAGGUCUUUCUUGCGUGCCACUGUCCACUCCACAGAGACAGGUUCAGCUACAGUGCCUUCUGCACCAGCUUGCUCCAGGCUCCUCCUCCCUCUUCCAGUCUCCAGACUCAUCUCCGGUCAUGUUCCUUCAAUCCUUCAUGCUGUGAAGUAACAUGACUGCACUAGAACUAUCUGGAGGAGGAGGAGCAUGCAAAUAAUGCCAGCAUGCAUGCCAUGAUUGCACCAUCCAUGGGGGCGGGGUAAUUGGGGAUUAGAGUGGUGCACGUGCACUGCAAGAGCCGGCAUGAUGAGGCACGUGUUGUGGUGGUGUGUUGGUUCCCAACUGAACACAGCAGAGGCGUGCUGCCGCUGCGGCUGCCCAAUUACUUAGAGCUUAGCCUAAGACACCGUUAUUGACUCAUUCAUCUCAUCUCAUCAUGAUCUCUAGAAUCUCACUAAAUAAAAAUAAAGUAAAAAUUAAGAA